rnacentral:rRNA from 1 species
UACAGAGAGUGCAAACGUUGUUCGGAAUUACUGGGCUUGAAGCGCUCGUAGGCGGCGUUGUAAGUGUCGGGUGAAAUCCCACGGCUCACCCGUGGAACUGCCCGGCAUACUGCGAUGCUAGAGUGUGGUAGGGGAGAGCGGAACUCCUGGUGGAGCGGUGAAAUGCGUAGAUAUCAGGAGGAACACCGGUGGCGAAGGCGGCUCUCUGGUCCACAACUGACGCUGAGGUGCGAAAGCUAGGGGAGCAAACGGG